GCCUGGGUAGCUCAGCGGUUGAGCGUCUGCCUUUGGCUCAGGGUGUGAUCCUGGAGUCUUGGGAUCGAGUCCCACAUCGGGCU
rnacentral:tRNA from 1 species